GACGAACGCUGGCGGCGUGCUUAACACAUGCAAGACGAACGAUGAACCCGGAGCUUGCUCUGGGGGAUUAGUGGCGAACGGGUGAGUAACACGUGAGUAACCUGCCCUGGACUCUGGGAUAAGCGUUGGAAACGACGUCUAAUACCGGAUAGGACCUUGGAUCGCAUGAUCUGGGGUGGAAAGUUUUUUCGGUCUGGGAUGGACUCGCGGCCUAUCAGCUUGUUGGUGAGGUAAUGGCUCACCAAGGCGUCGACGGGUAGCCGGCCUGAGAGGGUGACCGGCCACACUGGGACUGGGACACGGCCCAGACUCCUACGGGAGGCAGCAGUGGGGAAUAUUGCACAAUGGGCGAAAGCCUGAUGCAGCAACGCCGCGUGCGGGAUGACGGCCUUCGGGUUGUAAACCGCUUUUAGUAGGGAAGAAGGGCUUCGGCUUGACGGUACCUGCAGAAAAAGGACCGGCUAACUACGUG
rnacentral:rRNA from 1 species